CGUCAUACACCUGCACCCGGGAGGAAAGGCGAGGCUCUGCAUCUAGAUUUACCUCGUUCUCUUUUGUCUCCGCUUUUUUUUCACAUUUCCUUGCGACCCUGGCCCUUGAGCGACAAAAAGGGGAAGCCAAGGCUGGCCCGAGGAACGGAGAGGGCACAUGGCCUAGCCACAAGUGGAGCUUCUGCUCCGCCCGAAGGGAUGCGCUGGAGCGGCCUCUUCCUUCUGCCACGGUCUUUCUUUGCCAACUAGUAGUAGAGAUGGGGUUUCACCAGGUUAGCCAGGCUGGUCUUGAACUCCAGACCUCAAGGGAUCCGCCUGCCUCAGCUUUCCAAAGUGCUGGGAUUACAGGUGGAGACUGGACCUCAGAAGAGGGAGUGGGUGCCCCGAGAACUCACAGCUAGCGGACAGUGGAAAGGGCAGGAGCCGGACCAAGGUGAGGACAGUGGAACUGAAGGCCGCUGGUUACCUCUCCUGCCCUCCGCUGGCCACAGUGGAGAAGACAGCCCCUCCCUCCUGCUCUGACCUGACAGUGUUCAUCCAUCGCCCUGUAUUAGCGAAGAACAACAUCAAGCUGGCUAGCAAGGAACUGUAUACAGGGUCCAGCUGGGUAUCACACUGGAUCUCACCCAAAGCUUAGAUGUGAUCCAGCUCAGUAUCACAAAGCAGAACGAAAAGGAUGUGUUUGGGCUGAGAGGCCAUACAUUGGCUCCGGCAUGACGGGUGACUUCUUCCGAGUCUGGCUUCUGCAGCACACAGGGCUUCGCCAGCACCCAGCUCCUGCAGCAUGGGCAGCUCCUGUGACAGCAGGCGCCCGCAGCCUGCAAAGCGUCUCCAGUGCCGCCGCCUCAGUGAACCUCAACCAGCGGCACCUAGCAGCUUUCUCUGCCACCCUCUUCAGGUAGUUCUGUAGCAGCGCGUUUCUCAUGAGACACUUCCCUGUGAGCAGCUUUUUCUACCCUUGAGGAUGGAUUUCCAGCAAAUUCUGCCCAUGUGGUACCACAGCCACUUCUCUGCCAUUCAGUGAAACUGCCGUUGUGCCCUCUUCAAGGUCUGGAUCUAAGCCCAGGGACCAGGAAACCUCUUGCUUGAGUGCUGGAACUCAGGCCAGAAGGCAGGAAGCCCGCCUGACCCCAUGUCUCAGGCUGCCAGAGGAGCGUGCGAUGAGGAAGGCUGGACUGUCUUCACAGGACACCAGGGAGAAGCCUCAAGCCACUGCCCCCUGACAAGUCGCAGCUCUCCAGCCUGUCUCCUCACUCCCCUCCCCUCCACAUGGGGGGGUUGGGGUGGGGGCGGGGAAGGUUCGGGGCAGGGGUCAUUUCAGCUACUGGGCACCAGUCUCCUCCUCAUGUUUAUCCUGUUCCCUUUGCUUGAAAGGUUCGUACUCCAGAUCCUUGUAAAACCGCUUCUCACCCUUUGAGUCUCAGCUUAAAUGUCCCCUCCUUGGAGGGGUCUUCCCUGACAAUGAAGCUCCGACCGUCCUCUCCUGUUUUACCCAGUUCAUUUCUUUCUGGCAUUUGUAACUACUUGAAGUUAAAGUGUGUGCCAUGU
rnacentral:lncRNA from 1 species